AUUCUUAGAAUUUUCACAAUCUUUUUUUGAGACAGGGUCUUGCUCUGUUGCCCAGGCUGGAGUGCAGUGGCACGAUCUUGGCUCACUGCAAUCUCUGCCUCCUGGGUUCAUGUGAUUCUCCUGCCUCA
rnacentral:sRNA from 1 species